GGUAAUGCCGGAUGCUCCAGUUGAUCGCAUGGUCUUCUGGGAAAGCUUUCGCGGUAUGGGAUGGGGUCGCGUCCUAUCAGCUUGACGGCGGGGUAACGGCCCACCGUGGCUUCGACGGGUAGCCGGCCUGAGAGGGCGACCGGCCACAUUGGGACUGAGAUACGGCCCAGACUCCUACGGGAGGCAGCAGUGGGGAAUAUUGCACAAUGGGCGCAAGCCUGAUGCAGCGACGCCGCGUGAGGGAUGGAGGCCUUCGGGUUGUAAACCUCUUUUAUCGGGGAGCAAGCGAGAGUGAGUUUACCCGUUGAAUAAGCACCGGCUAACUACGUGCCAGCAGCCGCGGUAAUACGUAGGGUGCAAGCGUUAUCCGGAAUUAUUGGGCGUAAAGGGCUCGUAGGCGGUUCGUCGCGUCCGGUGUGAAAGUCCAUCGCUUAACGGUGGAUCCGCGCCGGGUACGGGCGGGCUUGAGUGCGGUAGGGGAGACUGGAAUUCCCGGUGUAACGGUGGAAUGUGUAGAUAUCGGGAAGAACACCA
rnacentral:rRNA from 1 species